rnacentral:tRNA from 1 species
AAAUCCGCGAAUUUUUAAAUCGUGAGGGUUCAAGUCCCUCUAUCCCCA